GACAGAGGGUGCAAACGUUGUUCGGAAUUACUGGGCGUAAAGCGCGUGUAGGCAGCUCUGUAAGUCAGGUGUGAAAGCCCUGGGCUCAACCUAGGAAGUGCACUUGAAACUACAGAGCUUGAGAUCUGGAGAGGAAGGCGGAAUUCUCGGUGUAGAGGUGAAAUUCGUAGAUAUCGAGAGGAACACCGGUGGCGAAGGCGGCCUUCUGGACAGCAUCUGACGCUGAGACGCGAAAGCUAGGGGAGCAAACGGG
rnacentral:rRNA from 1 species